AAGAAAGGGGACAUUAUCCUUGGAGGACUCUUUCCUAUUCAUUUUGGAGUAGCAGCUAAAGAUCAAGAUCUCAAAUCAAGGCCGGAGUCUGUGGAAUGUAUCAGGUAUAAUUUCCGUGGGUUUCGCUGGUUACAGGCUAUGAUAUUUGCCAUAGAGGAGAUAAACAGCAGCCCAGCCCUUCUUCCCAACUUGACGCUGGGAUACAGGAUAUUUGACACUUGCAACACCGUUUCUAAGGCCUUGGAAGCCACCCUGAGUUUUGUUGCUCAAAACAAAAUUGAUUCUUUGAACCUUGAUGAGUUCUGCAACUGCUCAGAGCACAUUCCCUCUACGAUUGCUGUGGUGGGAGCAACUGGCUCAGGCGUCUCCACGGCAGUGGCAAAUCUGCUGGGGCUCUUCUACAUUCCCCAGGUACUCAAGCCUUCUCAGACGGGGCACUGGGAGCAGGAUCAGAAGAAGCAGGCUUGGGGGUGCCAUGCCCAAUAUCCAUAUGGUUUACCAUAUUCCCAUCUCUGGCACAAAAGACCUAUGAUUUAGUUGAUAUGCUGUAUCAUGACCAUUUGGGAUUUCUGAAACUCCAGUGUCCACAAUGUCAAUGAUACCUUCGCUAUGCUUCCAAAAUUCUUUUAAAUGUACCUUGCAUAAAACUGUCUUUUUUUA
rnacentral:sRNA from 1 species